UUAAGCGACUAAGCGUACACGGUGGAUGCCCUGGCAGUCAGAGGCGAUGAAGGACGUGCUAAUCUGCGAAAAGCGUCGGUAAGGUGAUAUGAACCGUUAUAACCGGCGAUGUCCGAAUGGGGAAACCCAGUGCAAUUCGUUGCACUAUCGUUAACUGAAUACAUAGGUUAACGAGGCGAACCGGGGGAACUGAAACAUCUAAGUACCCCGAGGAAAAGAAAUCAACCGAGAUUCCCCCAGUAGCGGCGAGCGAACGGGGAGCAGCCCAGAGUCUGAAUCAGCUUGUGUGUUAGUGGAACGGUCUGGAAAGUCCGACGGUACAGGGUGAUAGUCCCGUACACCAAAAUGCACAGGCUGUGAACUCGAAGAGUAGGGCGGGACACGUGGUAUCCUGUCUGAAUAUGGGGGGACCAUCCUCCAAGGCUAAAUACUCCUGACUGACCGAUAGUGAACCAGUACCGUGAGGGAAAGGCGAAAAGAACCCCGGCGAGGGGAGUGAAAAAGAACCUGAAACCGUGUACGUACAAGCAGUGGGAGCACCUUCGGGUGUGACUGCGUACCUUUUGUAUAAUGGGUCAGCGACUUAUAUUCUGUAGCAAGGUUAACCGUAUAGGGGAGCCGCAGGGAAACCGAGUCUUAACUGGGCGUUAAGUUGCAGGGUAUAGACCCGAAACCCGGUGAUCUAGCCAUGGGCAGGUUGAAGGUUGGGUAACACUAACUGGAGGACCGAACCGACUAAUGUUGAAAAAUUAGCGGAUGACUUGUGGCUGGGGGUGAAAGGCCAAUCAAACCGGGAGAUAGCUGGUUCUCCCCGAAAGCUAUUUAGGUAGCGCCUCGUGAAUUCAUCUUCGGGGGUAGAGCACUGUUUCGGCUAGGGGGUCAUCCCGACUUACCAACCCGAUGCAAACUACGAAUACCGAAGAAUGUUAUCACGGGAGACACACGGCGGGUGCUAACGUCCGUCGUGAAGAGGGAAACAACCCAGACCGCCAGCUAAGGUCCCAAAGUCAUGGUUAAGUGGGAAACGAUGUGGGAAGGCACAGACAGCCAGGAUGUUGGCUUAGAAGCAGCCAUCAUUUAAAGAAAGCGUAAUAGCUCACUGGUCGAGUCGGCCUGCGCGGAAGAUGUAACGGGGCUAAACCAUGCACCGAAGCUGCGGCAGCGACACUAUGUGUUGUUGGGUAGGGGAGCGUUCUGUAAGCCUGCGAAGGUGNUGCUGGAGGUAUCAGAAGUGCGAAUGCUGACAUAAGUAACGAUAAAGCGGGUGAAAAGCCCGCUCGCCGGAAGACCAAGGGUUCCUGUCCAACGUUAAUCGGGGCAGGGUGAGUCGACCCCUAAGGCGAGGCCGAAAGGCGUAGUCGAUGGGAAACAGGUUAAUAUUCCUGUACUUGGUGUUACUGCGAAGGGGGGACGGAGAAGGCUAUGUUAGCCGGGCGACGGUUGUCCCGGUUUAAGCAUGUAGGCUGAUUGUCCAGGCAAAUCCGGAUAAUCAAGGCUGAGGUGUGAUGACGAGGCACUACGGUGCUGAAGUAACAAAUGCCCUGCUUCCAGGAAAAGCCUCUAAGCAUCAGGUAACAUUAAAUCGUACCCCAAACCGACACAGGUGGUCAGGUAGAGAAUACCAAGGCGCUUGAGAGAACUCGGGUGAAGGAACUAGGCAAAAUGGUGCCGUAACUUCGGGAGAAGGCACGCUGGUGUGUAGGUGAAGUCCCUGCGGAUGGAGCUGAGACCAGUCGAAGAUACCAGCUGGCUGCAACUGUUUAUUAAAAACACAGCACUGUGCAAACACGAAAGUGGACGUAUACGGUGUGACGCCUGCCCGGUGCCGGAAGGUUAAUUGAUGGGGUUAUCCGUAAGGAGAAGCUCUUGAUCGAAGCCCCGGUAAACGGCGGCCGUAACUAUAACGGUCCUAAGGUAGCGAAAUUCCUUGUCGGGUAAGUUCCGACCUGCACGAAUGGCGUAAUGAUGGCCAGGCUGUCUCCACCCGAGACUCAGUGAAAUUGAACUCGCUGUGAAGAUGCAGUGUACCCGCGGCAAGACGGAAAGACCCCGUGAACCUUUACUAUAGCUUGACACUGAACAUUGAGCCUUGAUGUGUAGGAUAGGUGGGAGGCUUUGAAGCGUGGACGCCAGUCUGCGUGGAGCCAACCUUGAAAUACCACCCUUUAAUGUUUGAUGUUCUAACGUUGGCCCCUGACCGGGGUUGCGGACAGUGUCUGGUGGGUAGUUUGACUGGGGCGGUCUCCUCCCAAAGCGUAACGGAGGAGCACGAAGGUUAGCUAAUCCUGGUCGGACAUCAGGAGGUUAGUGCAAUGGCAUAAGCUAGCUUGACUGCGAGCGUGACGGCGCGAGCAGGUGCGAAAGCAGGUCAUAGUGAUCCGGUGGUUCUGAAUGGAAGGGCCAUCGCUCAACGGAUAAAAGGUACUCCGGGGAUAACAGGCUGAUACCGCCCAAGAGUUCAUAUCGACGGCGGUGUUUGGCACCUCGAUGUCGGCUCAUCACAUCCUGGGGCUGAAGUAGGUCCCAAGGGUAUGGCUGUUCGCCAUUUAAAGUGGUACGCGAGCUGGGUUUAGAACGUCGUGAGACAGUUCGGUCCCUAUCUGCCGUGGGCGCUGGAGAAUUGAGGGGGGCUGCUCCUAGUACGAGAGGACCGGAGUGGACGCAUCACUGGUGUUCGGGUUGUCAUGCCAAUGGCACUGCCCGGUAGCUAAAUGCGGAAGAGAUAAGUGCUGAAAGCAUCUAAGCACGAAACUUGCCCCGAGAUGAGUUCUCCCUGAGACUUUAAGUCUCCUGAAGGAACGUUGAAGACGACGACGUUGAUAGGCCGGGUGUGUAAGCGCAGCGAUGCGUUGAGCUAACCGGUACUAAUGAACCGUGAGGCUUAACCUU
rnacentral:rRNA from 1 species